UCACCCUGAGUACAACUGCUCUUAAACCGAGACCUAUAGGCAGUAUAAGUAUUAGUCUCUCAUAUCCUGUAGUGAAGGGAUUACAGGAAAUAUAGUAUCGC
rnacentral:ncRNA from 1 species